CCCGGCAUUGAAAUGCCGGGCUAAAUUCAGGCGUCGCUACGCGACG
rfam:Candidatus Chloracidobacterium thermophilum B chromosome 1, complete sequence.